rnacentral:rRNA from 1 species
GAUGAACGCUGGCGGCGUGCCUAAUACAUGCAAGUCGAGCGAACGGACGAGAAGCUUGCUUCUCUGAUGUUAGCGGCGGACGGGUGAGUAACACGUGGAUAACCUACCUAUAAGACUGGGAUAACUUCGGGAAACCGGAGCUAAUACCGGAUAAUAUUUUGAACCGCAUGGUUCACAAGUGAAAGACGGUCUUGCUGUCACUUAUAGAUGGAUCCGCGCUGCAUUAGCUAGUUGGUAAGGUAACGGCUUACCAAGGCAACGAUGCAUAGCCGACCUGAGAGGGUGAUCGGCCACACUGGAACUGAGACACGGUCCAGACUCCUACGGGAGGCAGCAGUAGGGAAUCUUCCGCAAUGGGCGAAAGCCUGACGGAGCAACGCCGCGUGAGUGAUGAAGGUCUUCGGAUCGUAAAACUCUGUUAUUAGGGAAGAACAUAUGUGUAAGUAACUGUGCACAUCUUGACGGUACCUAAUCAGAAAGCCACGGCUAACUACGUGCCAGCAGCCGCGGUAAUACGUAGGUGGCAAGCGUUAUCCGGAAUUAUUGGGCGUAAAGCGCGCGUAGGCGGUUUUUUAAGUCUGAUGUGAAAGCCCACGGCUCAACCGUGGAGGGUCAUCGGAAACUGGAAAACUUGAGUGCAGAAGAGGAAAGUGGAAUUCCAUGUGUAGCGGUGAAAUGCGCAGAGAUAUGGAGGAACACCAGUGGCGAAGGCGACUUUCUGGUCUGUAACUGACGCUGAUGUGCGAAAGCGUGGGGAUCAGACAGGAUUAGAUACCCUGGUAGUCCACGCCGUAAACGAUGAGUGCUAAGUGUUAGGGGGUUUCCGCCCCUUAGUGCUGCAGCUAACGCAUUAAGCACUCCGCCUGGGGAGUACGACCGCAAGGUUGAAACUCAAAGGAAUUGACGGGGACCCGCACAAGCGGUGGAGCAUGUGGUUUAAUUCGAAGCAACGCGAAGAACCUUACCAAAUCUUGACAUCCUUUGACAACUCUAGAGAUAGAGCCUUCCCCUUCGGGGGACAAAGUGACAGGUGGUGCAUGGUUGUCGUCAGCUCGUGUCGUGAGAUGUUGGGUUAAGUCCCGCAACGAGCGCAACCCUUAAGCUUAGUUGCCAUCAUUAAGUUGGGCACUCUAAGUUGACUGCCGGUGACAAACCGGAGGAAGGUGGGGAUGACGUCAAAUCAUCAUGCCCCUUAUGAUUUGGGCUACACACGUGCUACAAUGGACAAUACAAAGGGCAGCGAAACCGCGAGGUCAAGCAAAUCCCAUAAAGUUGUUCUCAGUUCGGAUUGUAGUCUGCAACUCGACUACAUGAAGCUGGAAUCGCUAGUAAUCGUAGAUCAGCAUGCUACGGUGAAUACGUUCCCGGGUCU